GUUCCUGAUGAAAUAGAAAAAAGAAAAGAUUGUAGAUGAUUAAUUUAGGAACUUAGAUUCUUCUUGGAAACAUUCCUCUUUUUGCCAUUAAAGAAAUAAUUCUAUCGUGAAGGAUUAGAUCUUCUGUUUUGUGCACAAUCUCCAUUGAGUGUAUAUCGGACUUGCUCAAAUCGCAGAUCAUGUCACAACUCCUAUCUAUGACUAUGAGGAUAUUAUAGUUGCAUACCUGAAUGCCUAUCUUUAAUUGACUAUGAAAAGUUAUGCACUGGAGUCAAGUAACUAUACAUUUUUUUGCUAUUUCAUAUGUAUUCUCCUUUGUUCUUUUGCAUAUACUUCUGGACUUCACUAAGCAUGGUUCGAUCUUGUUAGUCUAGUUUGUUAGGUGCUGUCAGCUAACCUGGACAGAAUGAGAAAAGGAGACAAUGAAUGGAAUCCUUACUUGCAUGGGAAUUUGAUUGUAAAUAUUUGAGGAUCCAGCAUAUCUGCAAAUGUUCCUUUCUCAAUUGAACGCUCCACAUGAUGAGUCAGCCCCAUGGGAGGUUUCCCAGUGAGUAGCUGCAACAACAAGACUCCAAAAGAGUAUAUGUCAGACUUUAUGCCUAGCAUUCCAGUUUGUUGAUAUUCUGGAUCGAUGUAACAGAAUGUUCCAGCUGCAGAUGUCAUAUGAUACUGGGUGACACUGUCUGCCACAGAUGGGGGUACCAGGCGGGCUAGGCCGACAUCACUAAUUUUGCUCACAUAAUAUUGGUCAAGGAGGAUAUUUGCAGGCUUAAGGUCUCUAUGAACCAAUGGCUCUGGCUUAGUUUGAUGGAGGAAAAGGAGCCCUGUGCCGAUCUCUGCAGCAAUGCGGAACCUAUGCUGCCAGGGGAUGGGUGGUGUAUUUCCUCGCCGGUAUAAGCGGUCCUCCAAGCUCCCAUUUGCCAUGUAUUCAUAUACAAGGCAACCGUAUUCUGGGCAGGCACCGAGGAGAAGAACCAUAUUUGGAUGCCGAAUGCAACUUAGUAUUUCAACCUGGGCAACAAAGUUGAAACAUGGGAAAGGUUAUCAGUCGGCAAUUCUUCUAUAACAUGGGUCUAAUUCUUGUGAUCAUUUCAAAGUAUUCAUGUUUCUAAAUGAUUUCAAGAUUUCCAACAGUUUGAAAUGCAGCUGUGUGUGAUAAUACUAGAUACCUCUUGCUGAAACUGCGAUCUCCCUUGGGAUGCAUCUGGUCGCAGUGCCUUAAUGGCAACAGGGGUGUGAUCAAGAUAGCACCUGUAGACAGGACCAUACCCACCUUCCCCAAUUUUCCGGUUCUCUGCAAAGUUUUCUGUGGCUGCUUCUAUAUCCUCAAUUGUGUAUUUCCUAUACCUCAGCUAGGAUCAAGGCAGCUUCUUCUGCUAGUCGAGCUUCUUCUAGUCUUCGUUGUUCCUCCAUCUUCCACCGGUGGAGCUCCAUUGCCUGCAUCAAAAGAAGUCAUCACGAAAGGAACUCAAUUUUGGAGGUUUUCAUGGAAACAUUACCUUCUGUUUAGCCGUGAGUGCUUCUCUGCAUGCUGUGCUGUACAUAUCCAUUGUCUGCUUGAGCUCUAACUUCAGCCUAUUCAUCUCUGCUUUCACUUCUUCCUACAUGUUCCAAGAUUCUCUUCAUUACUUUGCUAAUGGAAAGGAAGUGCACGUACCGACAUUUGAGAUGAAAAGCUCCCAUUGGAUCGAGGAGAGAACCCACUCCCAGAUGAGUAAGCAUCCAAUGAUGACCUGUGUGGUGAUUGCACUGACUCAAAGCUGCAAUCAAGGCCAUCCGAUAUGCAGGACAACCUCUGCGGGAAAAGAUUCCGAGUCUCAAAUGCAGCAUUACCUGGCAAAAGGAAACUUAUUAGUUUUCUCCGGUGAAGAAACUAGCAAAAACUUGUCUUCACCAAGCAAGUGACAAGGAUUUGAGAUCGUAAAGGAGUAACAACCGGUGCUGAUCGGACAGCAUUUCUCAUAGAAGAGAUCUUCCCUUUGGAGAUGAUAUAAACUGUGCAGAAAUCAGGCACGCUUUUGCAGAUGUUGGUGUUGACGUCUGUGUAUCUAAAUGAUCUGAGAGAAAAAAGCUGCUUCUCUACUCCAGCAUGGGAAACAAAGUCAACAAUUGCCUUUGCUAAAUCGGUAUCCUCCAGUAUGAUAUCCUUGCACCUAACCUGUUGAAUACUCAAAACUGAAUAAGUGACUGAUAGUUCCAAGGAUUGCAUCGCCUUAAUUGAUUACAACCAUCUUGCAUGACAACUAUGAAAGAGUAUUAGCGGAUUGCAAGACUGACGGUCCAAUGUUUCUCUAAAUGAAAGGCAAACAAAGGCUUCUUAUCUGAAGAACAUCAUGGGCACUUCAUAUAAGAAGAGCAAACAAUCUUGCAUGAUCAAAGAUCCGCAAAAGUUCUUUCAGCUGUGGAAUAAUUUCAUAUUUUUCAAUCACAGGUUUCAGUGAUCUUAUGGACCGUUACGAACCGAAACGGUAUACCGGGCGAUAUACUGAAUAAGAUACUAAAAAUUCAAAGGGGGUUACCCACAUUCUUGCGUUUGCAGAAGCACCGGAAUGGAACGAGCAGUUGACUGGCUGCGGAUGUCACAUCUUCUUGAUGACCCGCUGCAUCACAUCAGAAAGAGAAUGAGCAACAACCUGGGAGCACUGAUGCUACCAAGAGCCAAGCAGGCGCCAAUGCUGCAACAAAGUUUACCUGAAAGCUUGGUGAUCACGUGGACGAGGAAGAUGGUUUGGCCCUUGACGGCGACGUUGUCCAGAGCCCACUUCAGAGCGUUCUGGCUGCUCUUGUCCUUGUCGACGGCCACCGCGAUAAGCGGGAACGACGAUCGAUCCGAUCCCUCCGGCAUCGCUCUUUUCUGGCAAAGAGAAGAAUAAGAAGAAGAAGAGAUGCAAAGAAAAGUAGCAGAGAAGGGAUCAAGAACACCAAUUACAAAUAGACUGGAAAUUGCUACAAUCAAGUCCAUAAACCGAAAGGAAAGAAAGCGCCAUGCACUCAAUCGACAGGUGGACCUGCCGAUUCCAUGCGUUGAUGAGACUGACCAUCGGCAUCCGGCGAGCAGCUGGAGACGUUGAAGUCCGCGGGGGGCUCGCUUUUGCUCCGCCCCUUUCCCUGCUUGCUUCGUCUCCGGCUUUCCUCCCCCUUCUUGGCCGAGGAGCUGUCGCUGCUGCUCGCUUUGGGGGCUUCGAAGAGAAGCAGCACCUCCUCCCUGCUGCCGUGCGGGUCUUGAACACUCUCCAGGGUGUCGACCACCUGGUUCAUGGUGGGUCUCCCUUUAGGGUUCUGGCUGAGGCAGCGGAGCGCCAGCCCGGCCACCUCCGCCGCCACCGUGCUCGAGUACUGCCCUUCGAUUCGUGGGUCCAUUAUCUUGGGGAGCUUCCUGCUGAAUGGCAGGAGGGGGCGAGCCCAGUCGACCAGGUUCUGUUCCCGAGCCGGCCUGCUCUUGUCCACUGCCUUCUUCCCCGUAAGAAUCUCCAGGAGGACGACGCCGAAGCCAUAGACAUCGCUCCUCGCCGUCAAGUGGCCUAUGACGAAUGAAACCAUGUGAUUUAUAUAAAGAAGGUAAUAUUAUUCUGCCUGCUAAAGAUUCGUCACAUAAUAUUCAACAACUCAA